rnacentral:lncRNA from 1 species
UUUCUCCUUGAGCUCCAGAGUGACCAUACACAAGGCCAACACAAAGACAAAGCCCCACCCCCACCCUAGAAAUGAACCACGAUUGACUGGCGUCUAAACUGCUGGAUGCAGCCCCACCUGAAGUCUUGCCCUGGGAUGCUCCAUCUCCACGGGCAACCGGCUUGCCUCUUGGGGUCUGGUUUUGUAUCAUUUGCACGCAGAAAGCUCUGACUGACUGGGAGGAGGGAAGGGAAGAGAUCCCGGAUAGAGAGAGCUGUAGGCGCAGAGACAGGAAGGGAUUCACAGCACAAGGCUCCCGGGGGAAGGGUAUGCGCAUUUGCCACAGGUUUGUGGUGGGAGGAAUAUAUUCUGAGGAGAGGACAACCCACCGGACAGCUUGGAGUGGUGAGAAGCAGACUGAACACCAGAUUGAGCCCCACCAACACUAUCUCGUGUGCCAGGCUGCUGGUGUGUUCCUGGAGGCCCACACAGAAUGAAUUCUAUGGUGCGCAGCGAGAGUACAAGCCAGUGGAGUAGCCCAGCUGCACAGCUUCCUUGGACCUGGAGAAGCUUGAUCCAGUGCCUCAAAUCAUCACCUUGCAGGCCCCUCCGUGACCAAGAGGGAAUCGGCCAGCUCCAGCUGGUGCUACAAGAAUUAUUGGGCUAGUGAGAUGACUCAGCAGGUAAAGAGAUUGCUGCCAAGCCUGGCGACUUGAGUUCGAGCCCCUGGACCCAUGUGGUAGAAAGUCUAACCCACUUCACAAAGUUAUUCUCUGACUUCCAGACUCCAGGGCCCAUGGUACACACGCCCCUCCACCCAUAAUAAAAUGUCC